CGUUAAAUAUCACAGUCAACGUCUUGCCGAGUUGUAUUUUAGUAAUUCAAUUGAAUGGUGUUAUUCAAUGAAUGCGCUAGUCAUUCAAUCGAAUCACAGAUUAAACCAGAUGACUGCGACAUAAAUAUUUCAUACUUACUCGUAUAAUA